UACGUAGGGUGCGAGCGUUGUCCGGAAUUAUUGGGCGUAAAGGGCUCGUAGGCGGUUUGUCGCGUCGGCUGUGAAAUCCCGAGGCUCAACCUCGGGUCUGCAGUCGAUACGGGGCGGACUGGAGUUCGGCAGGGGAGACUGGAAUUCCUGGUGUAGCGGUGGAAUGCGCAGAUAUCAGGAGGAACACCGGUGGCGAAGGCGGGUCUCUGGCCGAUACUGACGCUGGAGGAGCGAAAGCGUGGGG
rnacentral:rRNA from 1 species